rnacentral:rRNA from 1 species
GAGUUUGAUCAUGGCUCACAUUGAACGCUGGCGGCAGGCCUAACACAUGCAAGUCGAGCGCGAAAGCACUUCGGUGUGAGUAAAGCGGCGGACGGGUGAGUAACGCGUAGGUAUCUACCUAGUAGUGGGGGACAACUCGGGGAAACUCGAGCUAAUACCGCAUACGCCCUACGGGGGAAAGCGGGGGACCUUCGGGCCUCGUGCUAUUAGAUGAGCCUGCGUUGGAUUAGCUAGUUGGUGGGGUAAAGGCCUACCAAGGCGACGAUCCAUAGCUGGUCUGAGAGGAUGAUCAGCCACACCGGGACUGAGACACGGCCCGGACUCCUACGGGAGGCAGCAGUGGGGAAUAUUGCGCAAUGGGCGAAAGCCUGACGCAGCCAUGCCGCGUGUGUGAAGAAGGCCUUCGGGUUGUAAAGCACUUUCAAUUGGGAGGAAAGGUUCACGGUUAAUAACCGUGAGCUGUGACGUUACCUUUAGAAGAAGCACCGGCUAACUCCGUGCCAGCAGCCGCGGUAAUACGGAGGGUGCAAGCGUUAAUCGGAAUUACUGGGCGUAAAGCGCGCGUACGCGGUUUGUUAAGUGAGAUAUGAAAGCCCAGGGCU